GAAGGAGGAGGUGAAAGAAGCAAUAGAGGAAGAAGAGGAAGAGGAGGAGAACGAGGGUGAGGAGGAGAAAGAGAAAGAGGGUGAAGAGGAAAAUGGGGAGGAAAGCUAAUUAUUGAUAGAUCAUAAAAAGGAAGCUGAAUUGAUGAGAAUGUGAAGGAUGGGAGAAAAGAGGGCGAGAGAAGUGAGAGAGCGGGACAGCUGGAGAGGUGAAGUAACAGUGGAUGGACUGAAGAUGACAGAAGACGUGAAGAAAGAGAAAAAACAGGAUGAAAGGAGAAGAGGAAACUUUGCAGUUACCACAGCUGGGACUACAACCAUCUGAUAUGGACUACAAUACCCAUCAUGCAUCUGUACAAUCAUCACUGCCAUGGGACCUAGGGACGAGGGGGAACUUGUUUUAUCAACCUUUUGUAGCACUCUGGACUAUAAACAGUGAAACACACACACUCUUGUAAGAGCAUGCAAAAGCUGGAGGUGUUCUGUGGAUGGGGAUCCAGGACACACACACACACACCACGCGACUCACCAGACAGACUCUGAGUGGCAUUUUGUUUUCUUCCAUUUUUGUCGGAACAGAAAAUUCAUGAGACAUUCCAGAACUUCAUGAAUGUUCUACAACUGUGAGGGGUUGUCCUGGUCGCUCUGCUGUUAGAGCCUGCAGGUUAUAACAGCUGAUCCAAUACCUGCUCUUGUCCUGGGAUGAACACAUGAAGGAGGAGAUGAUUGGUGAUUACUGGGACGAACACAUGAAGGAGAUGAUUGGUGAUUACUGGGAUGAACACAUGAAGGAGGAGAUGAUUGGUGAUUACUGGGAUGAACACAUGAAGGAGGAGAUGAUUGGUGAUUACUGGGAUGAACACAUGAAGGAGGGGAUGUUUGGUGAUUACUAGGAUGAACACAUGAAGGAAGAGAUGUUUGGUGAUUACUAGGAUGAACACA